GUCCGCCGGCCAGGCGAAGACGCGCGACGGCGGCAGCGGUACAGCGGGUACAGUAGGGCCUGCCUAAAAACACUUUCACUUAGAAAGGGCACUUUUUAAAAUCACUGGCCAUUUGUUUUUAAGUGAAAAGUGGCUAAAAACACAGUAUAAACAUAUAUGCACAUAAUUUUGUUUCACAGUCAUUGGGUUUAGAAAAAAAAGAUUUAUUAUAGAAUUCUGUUAAUAGGUUAAUUUCCAACGUUCUUAAAGUAUAAUUGCUAUUUCUCUGUGUUACAUUUUACGCUAGUUAAGUAUUGAAUAAAAAACAAUAAGCAGAAUAUUUGGCCCAAGAACACUGUUAAGUGUAUAAUUGACAAUAGUAAUGAUGAUAUGUCACUAUCUAGAAGAUUCUAGAGUUUAAAUGAGUUUUCUUACCUAAAGCUUUAUGUACAGGGCCUUAAAUCUUAUUCUCGUCGAAGUUCCACUGUAGUGAGUGUGGGCAAAGCGGAGGCGCCGACAAUUCUAGAGAGUGCCAUCGAAAAGUUCGCGAAACGGAAUUAGCAACAACAAUUAAGUCGGAAAUGAGCCGCUCGCUGUCUCUCUCUUGCUCUCUGACCACACUAAGCUCCCCCUCUUCAAACAUUCGAAACCAUCCAUGUCUUUCUACCUUCGGCGCAGAAAAGCUUUUAGAGCUUUUGAGUAGUAGGUCAAGAAAUGCCUUGAAGCUAUUGUUGUUGUUCGGUUUUCACUUUUUAAGCCUUGUUUCUAACCGAUAUAUCUGUGCUUAAAAGAUAUGCUCCACUCAAAGGUGGUGGUGGUGGAAUGAGGGAGAGGGAAUGAGAGCGAAGAAAGAAGAGAAGAGGAGACCGUGAAGCUUUUCACGAUCACUUUGCUGUAAUAACGAAAUACCGGCCGGCGUUGGCGUUUCGAAAUUGAGAAAGCGCCGACCUUGUGCUCUCUUUAUCUCUCUCCCACCCUCUCCUUCCCCCUUGGAGCGGGUGGGUGUGUGAAAGAGCGAGAGGGUUGGGGUGGCAACCGAAUGCUAAUUAAUUGAAAGCUUUCGCCCCAUCUCUGUCGCAGCAAAAAAGCUUGCCGAUCAACGGGUUAUUACCAUUUAUGCAUAUGAAUUAUAGACUUUAUAUAGGAAUAGGAUCUGCCCCACUGCUACUGAUCCUUUAGAAUGUAGAGAAAAAUAAAAAAAAUAAACUAGUGCAACGGUUGGACGCUCGGGAUCACGAUCACGUGACCAAGGCUGCAAAACUGCGACUAGAAAUAAUUGGCGAAGCAGCUAAAAUCACAGUGUCAGGGCGGUAUUUUUGGCUGUCGCCGAUUCAAUAGCUAGAGCAACAAAACAAACCCAAAAAUAUCUUAACUCAUCCACCGGUUGAUAGUCUGGUAGACCAAAUGCGAUGCGUAGUAGCCACGCGGCCAAUAAGACAUUUCAAUUAUUUUGCCAACAAACGGAAUCGGGCAUGUGCACAUACUUCCAACCUUGAGGUUGUGUUAUUCAAAGUGGCGCCUAUCACCUAAUACACAUGUAGUAAUUAAUAUCUGAUUUAACUUUACAUAUAUUUAAAUAAUUUGCGCACUGAUUUAUGCAUAGCAUUUUGUUAUAAACUCUUUCUUGGUUAUUAAAUUUAAUGAAACAAA